rnacentral:rRNA from 1 species
CCUACGUGAGGCUGCAGUGAGGAAUAUUGGUCAAUGGACGAGAGUCUGAACCAGCCAAGUAGCGUGAAGGAUGACUGCCCUAUGGGUUGUAAACUUCUUUUAUCUGGGAGUAAAAUGUUCCACGUGUGGGAUAUUGUUUGUACCAUAAGAAUAAGCCUCCGCUAACUCCGUGCCAGCAGCCGCGGUAAUACGGAGGAGUCGAGCGUUAUCCGGAUUUAUUGGGUUUAAAGGGAGCGUAGGGGGAUUGUUAAGGCAGGUGUGAAAGUUUGGGGCUCAACCGUAGAAUUGCAGUUGAAACUGGUAGUCUUGAGUGCAGUAGAGGUAGGCGGAAUUCGUGGUGUAGCGGUGAAAUGCUUAGAUAUCACGAAGAACUCCGAUUGCGAAGGCAGCUCACUGGACUGCAACUGACACUGAGGCACGAAAGUGUGGGUAUCAAACAGGAUUAGAUACCCCAGUAGUC